GUAGAGUUUGAUCAUGGCUCAGGAAGUCGUAACAAGGUAACCACUAGAGUUUGAUCCUGGCUCAGGACGAACGCUGGCUGCGUGCUUAACACAUGCAAGUCGAACGCUGAAGCCUGGUGCUUGCACCGGGUGGAUGAGUGGCGAACGGGUGAGUAACACGUGAGUAACCUGCCCCUGACUUCGGGAUAAGCCCGGGAAACUGGGUCUAAUACCGGAUACGACUGCCGGACGCAUGUCUGGUGGUGGAAAGUUUUUUCGGUUGGGGAUGGGCUCGCGGCCUAUCAGUUUGUUGGUGAGGUAAUGGCUCACCAAGACGACGACGGGUAGCCGGCCUGAGAGGGCGACCGGCCACACUGGGACUGAGACACGGCCCAGACUCCUACGGGAGGCAGCAGUGGGGAAUAUUGCACAAUGGGGGAAACCCUGAUGCAGCGACGCAGCGUGCGGGAUGACGGCCUUCGGGUUGUAAACCGCUUUCAGCAGGGAAGAAGCGCAAGUGACGGUACCUGCAGAAGAAGUACCGGCUAACUACGUGCCAGCAGCCGCGGUAAUACGUAGGGUACGAGCGUUGUCCGGAAUUAUUGGGCGUAAAGAGCUCGUAGGUGGUUGGUCACGUCUGCUGUGGAAACGCAACGCUUAACGUUGCGCGUGCAGUGGGUACGGGCUGACUAGAGUGCAGUAGGGGAGUCUGGAAUUCCUGGUGUAGCGGUGAAAUGCGCAGAUAUCAGGAGGAACACCGGUGGCGAAGGCGGGACUCUGGGCUGUAACUGACACUGAGGAGCGAAAGCAUGGGGAGCGAACAGGAUUAGAUACCCUGGUAGUCCAUGCCGUAAACGUUGGGCACUAGGUGUGGGGGGCAUUCCACGUUCUCCGCGCCGUAGCUAACGCAUUAAGUGCCCCGCCUGGGGAGUACGGUCGCAAGGCUAAAACUCAAAGGAAUUGACGGGGGCCCGCACAAGCGGCGGAGCAUGCGGAUUAAUUCGAUGCAACGCGAAGAACCUUACCAAGGCUUGACAUACACCGGACCGUCCUGGAAACAGGUCUUCUUCUUUGAAGCUGGUGUACAGGUGGUGCAUGGUUGUCGUCAGCUCGUGUCGUGAGAUGUUGGGUUAAGUCCCGCAACGAGCGCAACCCUCGUUCUAUGUUGCCAGCACGUGAUGGUGGGAACUCAUAGGAGACUGCCGGGGUCAACUCGGAGGAAGGUGGGGAUGACGUCAAAUCAUCAUGCCCUUUAUGUCUUGGGCUUCACGCAUGCUACAAUGGCUGGUACAGAGAGAGGCGAACCCGUGAGGGCAAGCGAAUCCCUUAAAGCCAGUCUCAGUUCGGAUCGUAGUCUGCAAUUCGACUACGUGAAGUCGGAGUCGCUAGUAAUCGCAGAUCAGCAACGCUGCGGUGAAUACGUUCCCGGGCCUUGUACACACCGCCCGUCAAGUCACGAAAGUCGGUAACACCCGAAGCCGGUGGCCUAACCGUAAGGAGGGGGCCGUCUAAGGUGGGACUGGUGAUUGGGACUAAGUCGUAACAAGGUAACCAGGG
rnacentral:rRNA from 1 species